rnacentral:rRNA from 1 species
GAUGAACGCUAGCUAUAGGCUUAACACAUGCAAGUCGAGGGACCGGCGCACGGGUGAGUAACGCGUAUCCAACCUGCCCAUAACUAAGGGAUAACCCAGCGAAAGUUGGACUAAUACCUUAUGGUUAUGGAUGGGGAUGCGUCUGAUUAGCUUGUUGGCGGGGUAACGGCCCACCAAGGCAACGAUCAGUAGGGGUUCGGAGAGGAAGGUCCACCAGAUUGGAACUGAGACAUGGUCCAAAAUCCUACGGGAGGCAGCGGUGAAGAAUAUAUGUAAAUGAACGCAAGUCUGAACCAGCCAAGUAGCGUGCAGGAUGACUGCCUAUGGGUUGUAAACUGCUUUGAUAGGGGGAUAGGUACCAGAUGAAUAAGGACCGGCUAACUCCGUGCCAGCCGCCGCGGUAAUAC